ACCAGCCUGCCUUGUGCGAGUGCGCUCUUUUGGACCCACAUCAAUUUUAAGGGACGUUAGAUUUCUGUUCCGGAUUGCAGACCUCCCGCCUGCGCUUUGACGUACGGUGGACGUUGGGAGCAGCUAAGGCACAGAGCGGCGACCCACCUGCCUAUUAGUGCAGGUCAUAAUUGAGCGUGCUACGGCUAUGGCGGGUAAAGG
rnacentral:other from 1 species